UAAUAUAUAAUCACCACUUUUACAGUAACCUAAAACCAAACGCAUGUCCAUUGAUAAAUCUAUCAAUCGUCAAAUUCCUCUGUAUAUACAGUGGUAAAGUCAUAGAACCUUCUCUCUGUUUCUCCUAUUUCUUUUUAUGAUGAAUCACAUGGAGAAAUAUACCGUCCCCGGAUUAUGCGAUAUAUCCAUCUGAAAUUGCAUGAUCAUCGAACGUGAGCUUCUAAUUCUUGAUGAACAGAACAAGUUGCAGAGUUUAGAUUUUGGCUGGACAAGACUAAGAUGUCCUUCAGCCAUGGAGAGUGUAGAGGUUUUAAGAGAGAUCCACGGGAGUCAAUCUUCCAGCUACACAUUCUUUCUUCUCUAGAGAAACAACUGCUUAUCAUUCAUUGUUCCUGAUAUUGAUCACUCUCUUUUGUUUUUCUUUGUUUAUGGUAUGUGCAGGUUGCAGAGUUUAAAUGCCUCCUCAAGUCCUCAGUAUUAAGCCAACACCAAAGAUUGAAUACUUAUGUGUGCCUGUUAUAAGCCAUGACAGAACUCUAAAGCGUUAAUGCUACAACCGUUUGGUCACAGUGCACCAGCAUUGGAAUGAUCCUAGGGUCACUGUGGUUCUUGCGGGGAAAUUUGGUGCUGUGGAAUAGUGUCUUACAGGUUCUCAUCAAAUACAACAUCGUAUCACCAAGUUCAGCAAGACAAACAUUGAUGAUUGCUAGCAUCUUUCUCUCUGAAAGAUUAAUAUAGUUUUUAUAAAUUAAUAUUUUUUGUCGGUCAAACUUGAGUCGGUUUAAAAUUUGACACAAAUCAAUAAAAUAAUAAGAUAAUAUAUUUUUAAAAAACAUUAUAUGUAAAUGUAUGGUCCCAAUAAAAUUAUAAAUUAAUAAUUUAUAUGUAUACAUAUUUUAUAUAAGUAAGAACCUAUUAUUAUAUUGUUUGUUUUAUAUUCACAAUAAAAAUAUCUUUAUAUUUCUUAACACUUAAUAUAUCUUUGAUUAAAUUUAGUAGUAUUAUAUCUAAAACCACAUUUACGUUCUAUGCAAUAUAUAUUAUAUGCACCAAAUAAUAUAAAUAUCAUUUAAAAAAAAUAAAAAAUUAAUGUCUAUACACUAAUGUCAAAUAUUUUUCUUAUCUUAGAAUAAAUAUAUCUUAUAAUAAAAAAUAUAAUUAAUGAAAAAAUUGUAAAUGAAUAUCUCUAUAAAUUAAUAAAAUUUUAAAGUCCCAACGUUAUUAAUUUAUAGAGGUUUUACUGUAUGUCCCAAAACGCUUUUUGCGAGCUUUUUUGAGCAAAACACUAUCUAUUUGUAUUUAAUUGGUAAGUAAUAAAGCGGGUUAUGAAAUAAAAACUUAUGUGUUAUAUUGAGGAAAUCUCUAAGAAUAAAAUUCUUUCUUUACUAAAUAAAAAUAGAAGAACAUUGAAUAUAAAGUUAAUAUUAUAUAGUAUAUUAAACUUUGGAAACAAACCCAGAGGGUUAAAUGAAAAUAGAAAAAAUAAGCAUAACAAAUUAAAAAAUAUAUUAAAAUUUGUUCCCAUGUAUUAUUUGUGUGAUAAAAUUUCAACAUUUUAACUAAAACCACUGAUAAAUUUGUAAACCUUUAUAAGGUUCAAAUGCAAAUUUGAAAAAUAAAGAAUAAAAAUGAUUACAUCAAAAAGUUAUAAAAUAACUCAAUUUAUUGUCAUCGUAUUUGUUAUGUUAAUUGUGUUAUUUUACAUAUAAUGUAAAUCUGCUUUACAGUGACAUAAGUUUUAUGACACAAUUGAAAAAAUAUACCUAUAUUAAAAUUUGGAAAUACUACAAAAUAUUCAAUUUAAAUUAGUAAUGAAUAAACUGUUCCAAAUUUAGUUACAAUUCAUAUAUUACACAAUUUUUAAUAUAUAAAUAAAACAAAUUGAAAAUAUGUAAUCCGCGCGUAGCGCAAAAAUUAGCUCUAGUUUAAAUAAUAACUCUUUAACAAACAGAACUCCUUCAUGGUAAUUCAAAUAUGCCAACUUAAACUCGUAAUUACUAGUGUAUACACUACUGAAGAUGUUUCAUUAUUUGCCUUACUUAAGAAACCAAAACAAUUAUAUAUAUUGAUAUCACCAUCAUCAUACAUUUAUAGUAUUUUCCUUAAAUUAAAAGAAAAAAUCAUUCACAUAUUUGAUUUUGGUUUGCACAAAAAUAUACAUGCCAAAGCUUUUGAAUAAUAUUAGAAACUUUUUUUUAAAGAAAAACAUUAGAAUAUGCAACAUGAACGAUGAUCAUAAAUUUAACAUGGGUUUAUUCCUUUCGUUGUAAUAAAAGGUUUUAUUUUCUUUCUGAAAGCAAAAGCUUAUUGCUUUCUCCAUCGGAAUAUUUACAUGUUAGAAAGUGAGAUACAACUAAACCUUACACACAGUAUUCGCUAAUGGCGACUUAUAUCAAGUAAAAUUGGACUGAAACUUUAUGCUGAGAAUAUUUCCUUUUGAGAUUUGCAAGUAAUUUUUUUUCCUUUCCAUCACGAAUAUACAUAAAAUACUAUAUACGAAAACUUUAGUUUCAAGAUGGCGUAUGGAAUUUUUCAACUCAGUGAAUGUAAACGCAAGUUGUGAUUUGGCUAGUGCAUCUACUUCUAGUAAAUUAGCGGAGUAACGUUAGACAACGUUUGUUUGUUUGGUGAACCGACCAAUAUGUGGUUCUUAAUCUACCAAACGCCAUUUCAACUAAUUAGGCCACUUAUUUUUUAAUUUCGAAUCAUCAAAUUAUAUUUUACUCAAAAAAGAGAUAAUAGAAGAUGAUAUAACGUUGUAUGCUGCAAUUCACUAAAAACAAACGUAGCUAUCUUUUUCAGUGCACAAGCUUUUUAAUUCACAAGUACUAAGCAAGUGCCAGCCAUGGCCAGAUCUAAAUCUCCAAAUCAUGUUACCGGUUGACAUUGAGUACAAAAGUUCUUUUAUUCAUCAACUGAAAACAUCGUAUAGUAGUUUGUACCAACAAAACAAAUAGUUGAUUCAUCCCAAGAAAAGAAAAUCAAGAUGCAACAAAAAAUCUCCGGAAUGAAUAUCGUUGUAGGGAUAUUUAGUUAAGUCAUUAUUGCACAUUUCUUCCUCAUUGUCCAGAAGGCAGCAUAGUAUCGGUUCUGCAAACAAAAUAAACCCAAAAAAAUAAAUCGA